UGAAUACGAGACGCUAAGGCGUCGAAGUAGUGUAUGUCAUACUUCCAAGAAAAGCUUGCACUGUCAUAGAUAAAAAACGCCUGUACCAUAACCGACACAGGUGGGUAGGUAGAGUAUACUAAGGGGCGCGAGAUAACUCUCUCUAAGGAACUCGGCAAAAUAACUCCGUAACUUCGGGAGAAGGAGUGCCUUAUUCGUAAGGUUGCAAUAACAAGAUCCAAGCAACUGUUUAUCAAAAACACAGGUCUCCGCUAAGUCGUAAGACGAUGUAUGGGGACUGACGCCUGCCCAGUGCCAGAAGGUCAAAGAAGUUGGUUAGCAAUUGCGAAGCUGAUAACUGAAGCCCUGGUGAACGGCGGCCGUAACUAUAACGGUCCUAAGGUAGCGAAAUUCCUUGUCGGGUAAGUUCCGACCCGCACGAAAGGCGUAAUGAUUUGGAUACUGUCUCGGAGAGGGGCUCGGUGAAAUAGACUUGUCUGUGAAGAUGCGGACUACCUGCACCAGGACAGAAAGACCCUAUGAAGCUUUACUGUAACUUGAAAUUGAAAUUGGACUUUAUUCGCGCAGUAUAGGUGGGAGGCGUUGAUUAUAAUCUUGUGGGAUUAUUGGAGCCAUCAGUGAGAUACCACUCUUGUAAUGUUAGAUUUCUAACUUUGAAUCAUUAUCUGGUCAAAGAACAGUUUCAGGCGGGCAGUUUGACUGGGGCGGUCGCCUCCUAAACGGUAACGGAGGCGUACAAAGGUUUCCUCUGAACGGUUAGAAAUCGUAUCUAGAGUGUAAAGGCAUAAGGAAGCUUGACUGUGAGACCUACAAGUCGAGCAGGGACGAAAGUCGGUCUUAGUGAUCUGACGGUACUGAGUGGAAAGGCCGUCACUCAACGGAUAAAAGUUACUCUAAGGAUAACAGGCUGAUCUCCCCCAAGAGUUCACAUCGACGGGGAGGUUUGGCACCUCGAUGUCGGCUCAUCGCAUCCUGGGGCGGUAGUACGUCCCAAGGGUUGGGCUGUUCGCCCAUGAAAGCGGUACGCGAGCUGGGUUCAGAACGUCGUGAGACAGUUCGGUCCAUAUCCGGUGUAGGCGUUAGAAUAUUGAGAGGAGCCUUCUUUAGUACGAGAGGACCGAGAAGGACAUACCUCUGGUGUACCAGUUAUCGUGCCAACGGUAAACGCUGGGUAGCUAUGUAUGGAGUGGAUAACCGCUGAAAGCAUCUAAGUGGGAAGCCCACCUCAAGAUAAGUAUUCUCAUC
rnacentral:rRNA from 1 species